UACGGGGGGGGCAAGCGUUGUUCGGAAUUACUGGGCGUAAAGGGCUCGUAGGCGGCCAACUAAGUCGGAUGUGAAAUCCCCAGGCUUAACCUGGGAACUGCAUCCGAUACUGGAUGGCUUGAAUCCGGGAGAGGGAUGCAGAAUUCCAGGUGUAGCGGUGAAAUGCGUAGAUAUCAGGAGGAAUACCGAUGGCGAAGGCAGGUCUCUGGGCUGACACUGACGCUCAUGCACGAAAGCGUGGGGAGCAAACAGG
rnacentral:rRNA from 1 species